rnacentral:lncRNA from 1 species
GUUUUUAUUUGUUAGGUGAAACACUUCCUAUCUUGAACCAUCACUCCUAGAAGACGCACUUCUAGUCAAGUCAUUUCAUUUAACCCCUAGGAGACACACUUCAUAGUCUGAAUAAGUCAGUUUUUUAUUUGUUAGAUGAAGCACUUCCUAACUUAAACAUUCACUCCUAGAAGACCCACUUUCUAGUUGAGUCCUUUCAUUUAACUCCUAGGAGACGCACUUCCUAGUCUAAAUAAGUCAGUUUUUUAUUUGUUAGGUGAAACACUUUCUAACUUGAACAUUCACUCCUAGAAGACGCACUUUCUAGUCGAGUCCUUUCAUUUAACCCCUAGGAGACGCACUUCCUAGUCUGAAUAAGUCAGUUUUUAUUUGUUAGGUGAAGCACUUCCUAACUUGAACAUUUACUCCUAGAAGACGCACUUUCUAGUCGAGUCAUUUCAUUUAACCCCUGGG